CGGUGAGAUAUAGUGAACAUGAAGGUCAAUACCUCCGGCUGUUACUAUAAGUCCCUCACCUGCAACAGCUUCUGUAGAAGCACCUACAACAAAAUCUAUAUUAUCCAUAUUGUCAGGGUUUCCGCCCUUACCUAUAGCCAAAAUCUUUCCGUCACGAAUACCGAUAUCAGCCUUAUAAACUCCGGUAUAAUCAAUUAUAGUGGCACCUGAAAUAAUAGUAUCGGCUACCUUAGGGU
rnacentral:sRNA from 1 species